GACGAACGCUGGCGGCGUGCUUAACACAUGCAAGUCGAACGGAAGGGCCCUGCUUUUGUGGGGUGCUCGAGUGGCGAACGGGGGAGUAACACGUGAGUAACCUGCCCUUGACUUUGGGAUAACUUCAGGAAACUGGGGCUAAUACCGGAUAGGAGCUCCUGCUGCAUGGUGGGGGUUGGAAAGUUUCGGCGGUUGGGGAUGGACUCGCGGCUUAUCAGCUUGUUGGUGGGGUAGUGGCUUACCAAGGCUUUGACGGGUAGCCGGCCUGAGAGGGUGACCGGCCACAUUGGGACUGAGAUACGGCCCAGACUCCUACGGGAGGCAGCAGUGGGGAAUAUUGCACAAUGGGCGGAAGCCUGAUGCAGCAAUGCCGCGUGCGGGAUGACGGCCUUCGGGUUGUAAACCGCUUUCGCCUGUGACGAAGCGUGAGUGACGGUAAUGGGUAAAGAAGCACCGGCUAACUACGUG
rnacentral:rRNA from 1 species